UUGCCCUGUGCCUUGCUCGGUUGAAUUUUGGCUUAUAAUUCGAUCUUGAGCUGGAUAGUUAUCAUUACACAACGUGAAAUGACUACUAAUGGGCUAAAUUAAUUAAGACCUCUUUUGAGUACGACUUCACCGAUGGAACUCGUUCCUUGUAGAUGGUAGAUCUCGUAAUUAGAGUGUCUUACAGCU
rnacentral:snoRNA from 1 species